rnacentral:lncRNA from 1 species
CUAUAUAAUAGGUUUUCUCUGCUAAUAUUUUCCUGUUAAUUUUCUUUUUUAUCUAGGUUGUUUUUUUUUUUUUUUUGAAGGCACGUGAAGGUAGACAUCCUGAUAAAGUGGGUUUUACUCCUCUGGUGGCUGUUCCUCAGGAAGGACACAGUCUUCUAAUUCCCUGCAACCCUGGUGGAGCUGCCUGAACUCACAAUGAAGGGGGAUAGCAUUGACUUACAGGCUGUCGGGAGAGGAUGGUGAUUUCCAGGCAGACAAGAGCCUGGUGGCAGCUAAGUCCCUGAGAUCACAAGGUUCUUCUCAGGAAGCUGGAGGUCUGCAGGUCCUGUAGCUCCCACUGGCUGCAGGUGGAGGACGUGGUCUCGUUACUGAAUGGA